UUCCAAAGUGUUAAGUUCAGGGCAACAUCUCUGUUCUAUUAAUUAGACUUUGGGACAUUGAAACACAGGCUAGGGGAGAUGACUGGAUAGAAAACAUUGCUCUAUUCACUUACUCACAGCCUAAAAAA